rnacentral:rRNA from 1 species
UGGGGAAUAUUGGGCAAUGGGCGAAAGCCUGACCCAGCAACGCCGCGUGAGGGAAGAAGGUCUUCGGAUUGUAAACCUCUGUCCUUGGGGACGAAAAAAAUGACGGUACCCAAGGAGGAAGCCCCGGCUAACUACGUGCCAGCAGCCGCGGUAAUACGUAGGGGGCAAGCGUUGUCCGGAAUUACUGGGCGUAAAGGGUGCGUAGGCGGUUGCCUAAGUCAGAUGUGAACUCCCCGGGCUUAACUCGGGUGGUGCAUUUGAAACUGGGCGGCUAGAGUGCAGGAGAGGGAAGCGGAAUUCCUAGUGUAGCGGUGAAAUGCGUAGAUAUUAGGAGGAACACCAGUGGCGAAGGCGGCUUUCUGGACUGUAACUGACGCUGAGGCACGAAAGCGUGGGGAGCAAACA